ACUCCUACGGGAGGCAGCAGUGAGGAAUAUUGGACAAAUGGGCGCAAGCCUGAUCCAGCCAUGCCGCGUGCAGGAAGACUGCCCUAUGGGUUGUAAACUGCUUUUGUGACGGGAAGAAACACCCCUCGUGAGGGGGCUUGACGGUACCGUAAGAAUUAAGGAUCGGCUAACUCCGUGCCAGCAGCCGCGGUAAUACGGAGGAUCCGAGCGUUAUCCGGAAUCAUUGGGUUU
rnacentral:rRNA from 1 species